CAUACACACACACACACACACACACACACACACACACACACACACACACACACACACACACACACACACACACACACACACACAGUGUAUCUGCUCGCAUUUCUUCCAUUUUGUAGGCCUAGAUGUAUGUAAAAGUUCAUAUAAUUGAUCAUCGCUAUUUGGAAUGAUUAUUUCUUCGCCUAUUCCAGAACACCCCCACUUUUGGAAAGCUUGAUACGCCCCUGAUUGUGGUUUCGGAUCAGUUUAAUACUACAGUGUGCACAGUGAUCUGGGAGCAGCUUUAUGAGGCUGUGCUUCUGCAUGGACAUGUACAGCAUCAUAAAUCCCCUGCAUGUUAAUGGGUUGAUGUGCAAUGAGAUAGAUGAACAGCAAUGCUGAACAGUGCAUGAUACAGCCAGCACAGUUAAAUGACACAAAGAAAUAAAUAACACUAUUUAUUUAACUUCUAUUUCUACUCAGGGAAGAUUCAAAGUGAGCAAUCAAACCCUGGUUGGAUGUGUCAUUUAGCCCUUUGAGUGUGGUGUAUGUGAUAAUGCGUAGCAUAGCUCAGGGCAGACAUUGUAGGCAUCAGCUCUAGCCAAAGGCCAGGUUCAAUGAAGUGGACUGAAAUAUGUUCCCACCUGAAUGGUGCUUUGGCUGUGCAGUUCACAUGCACAGUUUGUCCACAUGCACCUAUUCAUCCCCCAGCGAUUGUAGCCCAGCUUCUUUUAGGUUUUAGAUUUUAGAUAUGUUAAGUUUAAGUCUACCUUCCUUUUUUUACGUGAACUUGCCUCACUGUUUAAAUAAUGUCUGCCUCUGACUCAUCAAUUGUUUACUUAUAUUCCUCAGGGCCCGAAAGGACCAAGAGGUGAAAGGGGACCCCAGGGCCCUGACGGGAGGGACGGCAGACCUGGCAACCCCGGCCCUGCUGGGCCCCCAGGACCCCCUGGCCUCGGCGGAAACUUUGCUGCUCAGUAUGAUCACAACAAAGGCGCUGAUAUUGGUCCCGGCCCCAUGGGAAUGAUGGGAAUGAAAGGCCAACCUGGACUUCCCGGCCCCCCUGGAGAAGGAGUGAUAAUCCCUUGAGUCCGGACUUUGUUCCAUCUCUUUUCAACUACGUUCCAUCUCCAGAGAAGAGGAAAAGAAAAAUGAGACUGGAGGUUUUCAACAGACGACAGGGAGCAAAGCUACAGAAGAUGGAGCAGACAAAGCUAUCUGCGAAAGCCAUCCCUCCCAGAGCAUCAACAGAUUGUCCCCAAGACUGCAACAAGGAUCCUACUGCAGAGCAAAGUCCCACCACAGAGCCUUUGAAGGAAUCUACCCAUGAAGAACCUGGAAACGAUGUCCAGCCUGUUCUCCAUGAGGAGGAUCCAGCAACCCCACCAUGCACCACUGAAACCUGUGGUAAACGCGUCCAAUCUCUUGAGCAAGAAUGCCAAGCUCUGAGGACUGAAAAUAUGUUGUUGAAGGAAAAAAUGAAUAGGACUACACUGAAUGAGAUGAGCUUGCAUAACGAUGAUAAAAGGGUUCAUACUCUCACUGGUUUAUCAGCAUUCUCCAUUCUCAUGACAAUUUUUCAUAUUGUGGCUCCUUUUCUCCAACUUAAAUCUAGUUUAACAUGUUUUCAGCAGUACAUGUUAACUUUAAUUAAGCUUAGAAUGAACUUGUCCUUUGAGUUUUGGGCUUUUCAUUUUGACAUUGACUCAACCACUGUUUCAAAGCUCUUCAAACACUGCAUUAGUGUGAUGCAUUGUAGACUGGUGCCAAGUCUGGUGUUGUGGCCUGACAGAAUACUUAAGAAAAUCUCUUCCAUAUGCAUUUCGAAACCGUAGCUUUGAAAAGACAGUUUGCAUUAUAGAUUGUUUUGAAAUAUUUCUAGAGAAACCCAGUAGAUUGCUAGCCAGUGCUCAGUGUUACUCAUCAUACAAAUCACACCACACAAUGAAAUAUUUAAUUGCAAUUUGCCCUCGAGGUUCCAUUUGUUUCAUUUCCGCUGGAUGGGGAGGUCGCACAAGUGAUACGUUUAUCACAGAACAAAGUCACUUUUUAUCUCAUUUGCUCCCAGGGGACGUAGUUUUAGCGGACAGAGGUUGUCUGGUUAAAGAGUCCAUUGAGAGAUGCCAAGCUGAAUUAAAAAUUCCAGCAUUUACUCGUGGAUAGAAGCAGUUAGAUCCUGCUGACUUGGAGAACACCAGACGUCUAGCCUCUCUUAGGAUACAUAUUGAAAGAGUGAUAGGAGUUCUCCGUCAAAAGUACACAGUCUUGCAAAGCACUGUCCCCAUAUGUUUCACGGACAUAGACAGGGAAAAUGAUGUGACCUACCUUGACAAGAUGGUGAGCGUGUGUUGUGCACUUACAAAUGUGUCUGAAUCUCUGGUGUCCUUCCAGUGAUGGGGAUGUACAGUAAAUUGAACUGAUGUGACUGGCUACAGAUGUGCUCAACCAGCAAAUAAACCUUUGUGACUCACACUUCUUGCUUGCUUGUCGUGACAUUAUUUUUAAUCACUCGCUAUUCUGAUGCGAUCACAUCGUUUCUCUUUGCAGAUCAAGCUGCACAUCCACCCAUUCUAACUUGAGUUCCACCCAAACAGAUAUUUGUUCUGGUGUGUUUUAUAUGAAUGACCCACCCAUGUUUCAUAUCCCUGAUUGCUACAGAUAUCUAAUACAAAUUAUGGGGAAGAGAACAAUAUUGGUUUAACAACUGUUUAUUCAUAAAUAACAGUACAGUAUCAGCUACUACAAACAACUCAUUUCACAGUCUCCUCACUAAGGUUUUCUUCUUUGGGCAUUGAUCACUUUUCGGCAGAUGGGACAUACCCACUGUUUUGGGACCCUUUUCAUGCGAAGGCAGGUCUGGUGAAACUUUUUAACUGAACAAAAACCUGACGCACAGACCACCAUGUUCCCUGCUUCUGGCUCAGGGCAGUAGCACCACUGUUGUUGACUAUGAUCAGCAAAUGCUGCUGCUGCUGGUGCUGGUUUCUGUGCAGAAAAACACUUUACUGCCUAAUUAACAGAAAGGUCCUUUGCAGAAAAUGGGCACUUAAUUUCUAUGACACCUGAACCACAGCAGCUACAGGAAACGUAUCCAUCAGGUGAGGCCCCAAUGCAGGGGUGAAAUCCUGAAUCCAGCUGUUCCUACCAUGACAUUCGUGUGUGAGAGGCGAUGACGCAUUUCAUAGUAUUUCCUUGCCAAGUCCUCGUGUUGACAUCCCCAACUGAAGAAAACAACAAUAACAUUAGUUUUGGACAAUAGUAAUGCCACCCCACAUUGGUACCGCCCUGCUCUUUCAAAAGGAUACUACCUACUUGGUUUAACACUCCUGCUUUUUAAGAAUAGUACUUCCUGGAUUUACCCUCCCUGUUAUUGUACCUACUUCACAUUCAUUUGAUUGUACACCAUCUGGAAAUGACCAUUUUACACACAGGAGCAGUUACACACUGCAUGCCCUGUUUUACCCUAAUCCUUCUAUGCUCAUGAAUACCUGGUAGCCUCACUGGUGAAACUAUGGGACUUUUGGGUAGCAUAUUUGUCUUAUUAGAGACACUGCAGGCUUUCUGACGUCUGUCUUUGUGGCUGCUCUGAAGGUAGUUAUAUCUAUCCGGAUACUGCAGAUCUGGGACGUCUUCUUCAGCGGAGAUGCUUUUGAAAAGCACCCCGGGGGCAUUGUAUGGGUCGGUAAUAUUUAACCUAUUUAAUUUUUGCAUAUAGAGCUCGAUGUCAUGCGAAUUAAAGUGAGAUGAGUACUCCGAUGGCUUGAAAGCUUCGGCGCCGGGUCAUUUUAAGGAAGAUCUUUAAGGGCGGCGCUUGAUUUUACUGACAAAAUGGCGUUCCGAACACCGGUGGUCACGUGGGUUCAGGAACUCGAUAUCAUGCAAGCACUUUGUUUUCUUUUUAUUUUGUUCUACACCACAAUUGCAUGCUUUAAACAUGACACGGGGCCAACAGUAAAGGCGUUUUUUCAGCCAACUCCCUGUUAGCCAGUUUACCUUGUCAUACAUGGAGCAAUUUAAAAUGCUCCUUACCGUAGCACCAACGAGCUGUGUGGUUUUCACAGUAGGUUUUGGUCUGCCCUCUGCUUUCACUCGUAGUCAGUUCACGAUAGCUGUCCAAUGAAGGCGGUGACUGGCCAGAGUGUUGUGUCAAGUGACUGAAGUGCAAAAUUCUACCCUAUCGGUCACUGGUUCACGGGUGGGACUUAUCUGCCAUAAGGAUCAAUUGAAACGGAAAAUAAACACGAGCCGCCUGGGGUUCACUCGAUUUACAUUGAAGUCAAUGGGAAUAGUGGCGCUGUUGUGACUCACAGAAUUGAUUUCAGGAAAACAGCUCGUCUUCGGCCCGAAAGGACCAAGAGGUGAAAGGGGACCCCAGGGCCCUGACGGGAGGGACGGCAGACCUGGCAACCCCGGCCCUGCUGGGCCCCCAGGACCCCCUGGCCUCGGCGGAAACUUUGCUGCUCAGUAUGAUCACAACAAAGGCGCUGAUAUUGGUCCCGGCCCCAUGGUGAACACACACACACACACACACACACACACACACACACACACACACACACACACACACACACACACACACACACACACACACACACACACACACACACACACACACACACACACACACACACACACACACACACACACACAUGCACAAACUCUGAGACACACACACCUGCAGUUUUGUGGUAACUCUCCAACAAUAACACUAUGUAUUCACACAUACACAUCACCACACAGAACUACCAAUAAGAACCCAUCGAAGUCUGAAGACCUUUCCAUGUCAGAGCACACCUGUCAAAUAGGUUUCCGCUACAGUGUUCACUGUCAUUCCCAAUCCAUGGAUUAUUCCCAUGGAGUUCUGGGAUUUAUGCCACUUUAUGGCAUGCAUUCUCACCUUAGCUUUCAGUCCAGUCAAUGGACUCAUCGUCAAAGAAAUACUUCCACACAUUUCUGGACUACUGUAAGUGUGGUUUUAUAACACAAAACCCUUUCUGUUGUAUAGCAUUCUGUCCUCAGCGGCAUAUCUUACUCACAGCCCACAACAUGCACAGCCACUGGUGUUGGACAUUGCUGUUGUUUGACCUUUGAUUUCUUUCCUCUAUCUCCAGGGAAUGAUGGGAAUGAAAGGCCAACCUGGACUUCCCGGCCCCCCUGGAGAAGGAGUGAUAAUCCCUUGAGGCCGGACUUUGUUCCAUCUCUUUUCAACUACGUUCCAUCUCCAGAGAAGAGGAAAAGAAAAAUGAGACUGGAGGUUUUCAACAGACGACAGAGAGCAAAGCUACAGAAGAUGAAGCAGACAAAGCUAUCUGCGAAAGCCAUCCCUCCCAGAGCAUCAACAGAUUGUCCCCAAGACUGCAACAAGGAUCCUACUGCAGAGCAAAGUCCCACCACAGAGCCUUUGAAGGAAUCUACCCAUGAAGAACCUGGAAACGAUGUCCAGCCUGUUCUCCAUGAGGAGGAUCCAGCAACCCCACCAUGCACCACUGAAACCUGUGGUAAACGCGUCCAAUCUCUUGAGCAAGAAUGCCAAGCUCUGAGGACUGAAAAUAUGUUGUUGAAGGAAAAAAUGAAUAGGACUACACUGAAUGAGAUGAGCUUGCAUAACGAUGAUAAAAGGGUUCAUACUCUCACUGGUUUAUCAGCAUUCUCCAUUCUCAUGACAAUUUUUCAUAUUGUGGCUCCUUUUCUCCAACUUAAAUCUAGUUUAACAUGUUUUCAGCAGUACAUGUUAACUUUAAUUAAGCUUAGAAUGAACUUGUCCUUUGAGUUUUGGGCUUUUCAUUUUGACAUUGACUCGACCACUGUUUCAAAGCUCUUCAAACACUGCAUUAGUGUGAUGCAUUGUAGACUGGUGCCAAGUCUGGUGUUGUGGCCUGACAGAAUACUUAAGAAAAUCUCUUCCAUAUGCAUUUCGAAACCGUAGCUUUGAAAAGACAGUUUGCAUUAUAGAUUGUUUUGAAAUAUUUCUAGAGAAACCCAGUAGAUUGCUAGCCAGUGCUCAGUGUUACUCAUCAUACAAAUCACACCACACAAUGAAAUAUUUAAUUGCAAUUUGCCCUCGAGGUUCCAUUUGUUUCAUUUCCGCUGGAUGGGGAGGUCGCACAAGUGAUGAGUUUAUCACUGAACAAAGUCACUUUUUAUCUCAUUUGCUCCCAGGGGACGUAGUUUUAGCAGACAGAGGUUGUCUGGUUAAAGAGUCCAUUGAGAGAUGCCAAGCUGAAUUAAAAAUUCCAGCAUUUACUCGUGGAUAGAAGCAGUUAGAUCCUGCUGACUUGGAGAACACCAGACGUCUAGCCUCUCUUAGGAUACAUAUUGAAAGAGUGAUAGGAGUUCUCCGUCAAAAGUACACAGUCUUGCAAAGCACUGUCCCCAUAUGUUUCACGGACAUAGACAGGGAAAAUGAUGUGACCUACCUUGACAAGAUGGUGAGCGUGUGUUGUGCACUUACAAAUGUGUCUGAAUCUCUGGUGUCCUUCCAGUGAUGGGGAUGUACAGUAAAUUGAACUGAUGUGACUGGCUACAGAUGUGCUCAACCAGCAAAUAAACCUUUGUGACUCUCACUUCUUGCUUGCUUGUCGUGACAUUAUUUUUAAUCACUCGCUAUUCUGAUGCGAUCACAUCGUUUCUCUUUGCAGAUCAAGCUGCACAUCCACCCAUUCUAACUUGAGUUCCACCCAAACAGAUAUUUGUUCUGGUGUGUUUUAUAUGAAUGACCCACCCAUGUUUCAUAUCCCUGAUUGCUACAGAUAUCUAAUACAAAUUAUGGGGAAGAGAACAAUAUUGGUUUAACAACUGUUUAUUCAUAAAUAACAGUACAGUAUCAGCUACUACAAACAACUCAUUUCACAGUCUCCUCACUAAGGUUUUCUUCUUUGGGCAUUGAUCACUUUUCGGCAGAUGGGACAUACCCACUGUUUUGGGACCCUUUUCAUGCGAAGGCAGGUCUGGUGAAACUUUUUAACUGAACAAAAACCUGACGCACAGACCACCAUGUUCCCUGCUUCUGGCUCAGGGCAGUAGCACCACUGUUGUUGACUAUGAUCAGCAAAUGCUGCUGCUGCUGGUGCUGGUUUCUGUGCAGAAAAACACUUUACUGCCUAAUUAACAGAAAGGUCCUUUGCAGAAAAUGGGCACUUAAUUUCUAUGACACCUGAACCACAGCAGCUACAGGAAACGUAUCCAUCAGGUGAGGCCCCAAUGCAGGGGUGAAAUCCUGAAUCCAGCUGUUCCUACCAUGACAUUCGUGUGUGAGAGGCGAUGACGCAUUUCAUAGUAUUUUCUUGCCAAGUCCUCGUGUUGACAUCCCCAACUGAAGAAAACAACAAUAACAUUAGUUUUGGACAAUAGUAAUGCCACCCCACAUUGGUACCGCCCUGCUCUUUCAAAAGGAUACUACCUACUUGGUUUAACACUCCUGCUUUUUAAGAAUAGUACUUCCUGGAUUUACCCUCCCUGUUAUUGUACCUACUUCACAUUCAUUUGAUUGUACACCAUCUGGAAAUGACCAUUUUACACACAGGAGCAGUUACACACUGCAUGCCCUGUUUUACCCUAAUCCUUCUAUGCUCAUGAAUACCUGGUAGCCUCACUGGUGAAACUAUGGGACUUUUGGGUAGCAUAUUUGUCUUAUUAGAGACACUGCAGGCUUUCUGACGUCUGUCUUUGUGGCUGCUCUGAAGGUAGUUAUAUCUAUCCGGAUACUGCAGAUCUGGGACGUCUUCUUCAGCGGAGAUGCUUUUGAAAAGCACCCCGGGGGCAUUGUAUGGGUCGGUAAUAUUUAACCUAUUUAAUUUUUGCAUAUAGAGCUCGAUGUCAUGCGAAUUAAAGUGAGAUGAGUACUCCGAUGGCUUGAAAGCUUCGGCGCCGGGUCAUUUUAAAGGAAGAUCUUUAAGGGCGGCGCUUGAUUUUACUGACAAAAUGGCGUUCCGAACACCGGUGGUCACGUGGGUUCAGGAACUCGAUAUCAUGCAAGCACUUUGUUUUCUUUUUAUUUUGUUCUACACCACAAUUGCAUGCUUUAAACAUGACACGGGGCCAACAGUAAAGGCGUUUUUUCAGCCAACUCCCUGUUAGCCAGUUUACCUUGUCAUACAUGGAGCAAUUUAAAAUUCUCCUUACCGUAGCACCAACGAGCUGUGUGGUUUUCACAGUAGGUUUUGGUCUGCCCUCUGCUUUCACUCGUAGUCAGUUCACGAUAGCUGUCCAAUGAAGGCGGUGACUGGCCAGAGUGUUGUGUCAAGUGACUGAAGUGCAAAAUUCUACCCUAUCGGUCACUGGUUCACGGGUGGGACUUAUCUGCCAUAAGGAUCAAUUGAAACGGAAAAUAAACACGAGCCGCCUGGGGUUCACUCGAUUUACAUUGAAGUCAAUGGGAAUAGUGGCGCUGUUGUGACUCACAGAAUUGAUUUCAGGAAAACAGCUCGUCUUCGUGAGUAUUUCUGUUUCAAAGCACUGAAAAUGGGAUUGUUGUAAGAUUUUUGGUUUAUUUAUUUUUUAACAUUUUUUUGGUGAAGCACUGCUUCACCUGUAGUCUUAUAGAAGCCUCCACUGCUCCAAACUCUAUUUGUGAAACAUGCAGACGGCCUAGUGAGACUGCCAGCAGGCAGCAGCAAAGAGAUGUAGCGACCUCGGUUUAUUUCUUCAGCUUUCACAUACACACAAACACGCACACAGGGUGCUUGGUCUUUUUUUUGUUUUGUCGUUGUCUGUUAAACCGCCACGUGGAGCGACGUGUCUGGGAAGCUGCCCUCUUGGUCUGAGCCUGUGGAGGCAUCGCUUCUCGGCCUUUUGGCUAAGAUCAAGUGUAGUAUCUGUUCUUAUCAGUUUAAUAUCUGAUACGUCCCCUACCCGGGGACCAUAUAUUAAAUUGAUUUUUGGAACUGGGAGAUGGAAAAGGGGCUUGCUCCGUCCACUCCACGCAUCGACCUGGUAUUGCAGUACCUCCAGGACCGGUGCACC